UACGUAGGGGGCAAGCGUUGUCCGGAAUCAUUGGGCGUAAAGAGCGCGUAGGCGGUCCGGUAAGUCAGCUGUGAAAGUCAGGGGCUCAACCCUUGAAAGCCGGUUGAUACUGUCGGGCUAGAGUCCGGAAGAGGCGAGUGGAAUUCCCGGUGUAGCGGUGAAAUGCGCAGAUAUCGGGAGGAACACCAAUGGCGAAGGCAGCUCGCUGGGACGGUACUGACGCUGAGGCGCGAAAGCGUGGGAAGCAAACAGG
rnacentral:rRNA from 1 species